AAAUUGAAGAGUUUGAUCAUGGCUCAGAUUGAACGCUGGCGGCAGGCCUAACACAUGCAAGUCGAACGGUAACAGGAAACAGCUUGCUGUUUCG
rnacentral:rRNA from 3 species